rnacentral:rRNA from 1 species
AAUAUUGGGCAAUGGGCGAAAGCCUGACCCAGCAACGCCGCGUGAAGGAAGACGGUCUUCGGAUUGUAAACUUCUUUGAUUGGGGAAGAACACAAUGACCUACCCAAAGAACAAGUCACGGCUAACUACGUGCCAGCAGCCGCGGUAAUACGUAGGUGACAAGCGUUAUCCGGAUUUACUGGGCGUAAAGGGCGUGUAGGCGGCCUUGCAAGUCAGAAGUGAAAUUCUCGGGCUCAACCCGGGCGCUGCUUCUGAAACUGUAGGGCUUGAGUGCUGGAGGGGAUAGCGGAAUUCCUAGUGGAGCGGUAAAAUGCGUAGAUAUUAGGAAGAACACCGGUGGCGAAGGCGGCUAUCUGGACAGUAACUGACGCUGAGGCGCGAAAGCGUGGGGAGCGAACA